rnacentral:rRNA from 1 species
CUCUUAAUUGGGGGCUUGAAUGAACGGUCGGACAUGAAGGAAGCUGUCUCGGCGCGGAGGACGUGAAAUUAACUUUUGUGUGAAAAGGCAUUAAUGGGUUAGGGGGACGAUAAGACCCUAUAAAACUUGAUGGGUGGGUGUCCGGGCCAGGAGUUGGGUGUAAGGGGGCUCGGGCGGUGUCCAUUUUGCUGGGGCGGCAGGAAUGUAAUCAGUAACCGUUCUUCAGGUGGAAUGGUGAUAGCCAGAUUUUGACCCUGGAUUCUGGGUUAGGAGUGUAAGUUACUUUAGGGAUAACAGCGUUA